rnacentral:rRNA from 1 species
UACGUAGGUGGCAAGCGUUGUCCGGAUUUAUUGGGUUUAAAGGGUGCGUAGGCGGUUCUAUAAGUCAGUGGUGAAAUACGGCAGCUCAACUGUCGAGGUGCCAUUGAUACUGUAGAACUUGAGUACAGACGAGGUAGGCGGAAUUGACGGUGUAGCGGUGAAAUGCUUAGAUAUCGUCAAGAACACCGAUAGCGAAGGCAGCUUACUAGACUGUAACUGACGCUGAGGCACGAAAGUGUGGGGGAUCAAACAGG